rnacentral:rRNA from 1 species
CUACGGGAGGCAGCAGUGGGGAAUAUUGGACAAUGGGCGCAAGCCUGAUCCAGCAAUGCCGCGUGUGUGAAGAAGGUCUUCGGAUUGUAAAGCACUUUCGGCGGGGACGAUGAUGACGGUACCCGCAGAAGAAGCCCCGGCUAACUUCGUGCCAGCAGCCGCGGUAAUACGAAGGGGGCUAGCGUUGCUCGGAAUGACUGGGCGUAAAGGGCGCGUAGGCGGGUUGUUUAGUUAGGUGUGAAAUUCCUGGGCUUAACCUGGGGACUGCACUUAAUACAGGCAGCCUAGAGUGAGGAAGAGGGUUGUGGAAUUCCCAGUGUAGAGGUGAAAUUCGUAGAUAUUAGGAAGAACACCGGUGGCGAAGGCGGCAACCUGGUCCUUGACUGACGCUGAGGCGCGAAAGCGUGGGGAGCAAACAGGAUUAGAUACCCGCGUAGUCCG